AAGCUCGUAGUUGAAUUUCGGGAUUCGUCGGUUGGUCGGGCUUCACUGUCCGCACUGAUCUGACGGAUUCCUACCUUCUGAAUAACCAGCAUGCUAUUAAGUUAGUGCGUUGGGGAAGCAGAGCUAUUACCUUGAAAAAAUUAGAGUGCUUAAAGCAGGCUUGUGCUUGAAUAGAUUAGCAUGGAAUAAUAAAAUAGGACGGCAUGGUUCUAUUUUGUUGGUUUCUAGGAUCACCGUAAUGAUUAAUGGGAUAGUUGGG
rnacentral:rRNA from 1 species